rnacentral:rRNA from 1 species
GACGAACGCUGGCGGCGUGCCUAAUACAUGCAAGUCGAACGCAGUGGGGACGGGUGAGUAACACGUGGGUAACCUCCCAUCAGAGGGGAUAACAGUUGGAAACAGGUGCUAAACCGAUAUUGAUGGAUGGACCCGCGGUGCAUUAGCCAGUUGGUGAGGUAACGGCUACCCAAGGCCACGAUGCAUAGCCGGCCUGAUAGCGCGAUCGGCCAAACUUGGACUGGGACACGGUCCAGACUCCUACGGUAGGCAGCAUUGGGGAAUAUUGGACAAUGGGCGAAAGCCUGAUCCAGCCAUGCCGCGUGUGUGAAGAAGGUCUUCGGAUUGUAAAGCACUUUAAGAUGGGAAGCGUUACCAACAGAAUAAGCACCGGCUAACUUCGUGCCAGCAGCCGCGGUAAUAC